UACGAGGGGGGGCGAGCGUUGUUCGGAAUUAUUGGGCGUAAAGAGCUCGUAGGCGGUUUGUCGCGUCUGCCGUGAAAGUCCGGGGCUCAACUCCGGAUCUGCGGUGGGUACGGGCAGACUAGAGUGAUGUAGGGGAGACUGGAAUUCCUGGUGUAGCGGUGAAAUGCGCAGAUAUCAGGAGGAACACCGAUGGCGAAGGCGGCACUCUGGGCCGAUACUGACACUGAGGAGCGAAAGCGUGGGGAGCGAACAGG
rnacentral:rRNA from 1 species